rnacentral:sRNA from 1 species
UGGACUGAAUCUCUGAAUCUAGAGAGGCAAUGAAGAAACGAGAAACCCGAAGACUAGUACAUCUGACUUUCGCAGUGAGCAAACAGCAGGUGGCCGGGCCAACUGAGAAAGGUGAGCAUCACCACAGUAUGUGUCCUCUGACCUGUUCAUCCGACUUCUGGGAAUCAGUCCUAAAGAAAUACCUCCAAAUAUGGGAAGGAUUAUGAGCAGAUAGGCUCCUGGCAGCAUUCCCCCUGACAGCAGAGGAGAGAGAGCUGUGGCUCCACCUGCCUGGCUGGCUGGUGUCCCGGAUGGGCGUGUCCAAGAAGCUCCAUUCAACCUAGGAGCAAGUUCAAAACUGUGUACCCGGUGAUGCGCUAUGGAAGCCGCUCACAUCAAAUACCAGGAUGAGCAUGCAGCUCCAGCUGCACGAGGGAG